rnacentral:misc_RNA from 1 species
GUACUCUCACUCUCCUGAUGCUUUUGGAUCGGGAGUGGUGGACUUGGGUGUUGCUGCUUUGCUGUGGCUCGCCUCAAAUGGAGUAGUGCAACUCUUGGUUGGACAUAGUACGGCGUGAUAAGUGUCUUCGCCGGCGCCUCAUUACAGAGGGUGGCCGAUCGGGAGCUCUGUGCUUCAAACCGUCUUCGGACAACAUCUGACA